rnacentral:lncRNA from 1 species
UUUGAUAUAGUAUAUAUUUUGUCCAAUGUAGGGUGUGUUUGGAGUAGCUAUCGGAUGAAGCGCGCGUAUUGGCGGUAACAAGAAGGGUAAAUGGUGGGAAAUGCAAAUUGUGAGGAAGGACGUGUGAUUAUUCGAUGGGGUAGCAUGUUGGAGGAGCGUGGACAAAUCACGUGAGAGAUUUAUAAGGUUUUUGAGAGUAACCCAUCUUAUGAAUGGUUGGGUGUGGGGGCAGCAAUGCAUAUAUAUCAU